rnacentral:rRNA from 1 species
ACUCUACGGGAGGCAGCAGUGGGGAAUAUUGGACAAUGGGCGAAAGCCUGAUCCAGCCAUGCCGCGUGUGUGAAGAAGGCCUUUUGGUUGUAAAGCACUUUAAGCGAGGAGGAGGCUACUUGGAUUAAUACUCUAGGAUAGUGGACGUUACUCGCAGAAUAAGCACCGGCUAACUCUGUGCCAGCAGCCGCGGUAAU